CCUCUACUGACGUGGGUACGCUUAGGGAAACAAGCAUAGAGGUCCAUAUAUCCAUGGAGAUCAUUGAUGGGAAAAAGAAGAAAGGCUCAAGGAGACGAGUUGUAG